rnacentral:rRNA from 1 species
AGCGAACGCUGGCGGCAGGCUUAACACAUGCAAGUCGAACGGGCGUAGCAAUACGGAGUGGCAGACGGGUGAGUAACACGUGGGAACGUACCCUUCGGUUCGGAAUAACUCAGGGAAACUUGAGCUAAUACCGGAUACGUCCGAGAGGAGAAAGAUUUAUCGCCGAGGGAUCGGCCCGCGUCUGAUUAGCUUGUUGGUGAGGUAACGGCUCACCAAGGCGACGAUCAGUAGCNGGUCUGAGAGGAUGAUCAGCCACAUUGGGACUGAGACACGGUCCAGACUCCUACGGGAGGCAGCAGUGGGGAAUAUUGGGCAAUGGGCGCAAGCCUGACCCAGCUAUGCCGCGUGAGUGAUGAAGGCC